ACCGGCUAACUCCGUGCCAGCAGCCGCGGUAAUACGGAGGGUGCAAGCGUUAUUCGGAAUCACUGGGCGUAAAGGGUGCGUAGGCGGUUUGGAAAGUCAGAUGUGAAAGCCUAUGGCUUAACCAUAGAACUGCAUUUGAAACUUCCAAACUAGAAUACUGAAGGGGCAGAUGGAAUUAGUGGUGUAGGGGUAAAAUCCGUAGAUGUCACUAGGAAUACCGAAAGCGAAAGCGAUCUGCUGGGAAGUUAUUGACGCUGAGGCACGAAAGCGUGGGGAGCAAACGGGAUUAGAUACCCCGGUAGUCCACGCCCUAAACGAUGAAUGCUAGUCGUCGGAAAGCUCGUCUUUUCGGUGAUGCAGUUAACACAUUAAGCAUUCCGCCUGGGGAGUACGGUCGCAAGAUUAAAACUCAAAGGAAUAGACGGGGACCCGCACAAGUGGUGGAGCAUGUGGUUUAAUUCGAAGAUACGCGAAGAACCUUACCUAGCCUUGACAUUGAUAGAAUCUGGUAGAGAUACCGGAGUGCCUGCUUGCAGGAACUUGAAAACAGGUGCUGCACGGCUGUCGUCAGCUCGUGUCGUGAGAUGUUGGGUUAAGUCCCGCAACGAGCGCAACCCUCGUCGUUAGUUGCUAACAGUUCGGCUGAGCACUCUAGCGAGACUGCCUUCGCAAGGAGGAGGAAGGUGAGGACGACGUCAAGUCAUCAUGGCCCUUAUGGCUAGGGCUACACACGUGCUACAAUGGGGCGUACAGAGAGUUGCGAUACCGCGAGGUGGAGCUAAUCUCAUAAAGCGUCUCUCAGUUCGGAUUGAUCUCUGCAACUCGAGAUCAUGAAGCUGGAAUCACUAGU
rnacentral:rRNA from 1 species